rnacentral:rRNA from 1 species
UGGGGAAUCUUGCGCAAUGGGCGGAAGCCUGACGCAGCAACGCCGCGUGAAUGAUGAAGGCCUUCGGGUUGUAAAGUUCUGUCAGGGGGGACGAUAAUGACGGUACCCCCGGAGGAAGCCCCGGCUAACUACGUGCCAGCAGCCGCGGUAAUACGUAGGGGGCGAGCGUUGUCCGGAAUUAUUGGGCGUAAAGGGCGUGUAGGCGGCCGAUCAAGUCUGGUGUGAAAAUCCGGGGCUUAACCCCGGAAGUGCAUUGGAAACUGGUUGGCUUGAGUGCGGGAGAGGAAAGUGGAAUUCCCAGUGUAGCGGUGAAAUGCGUAGAUAUUGGGAGGAACACCAGUGGCGAAGGCGACUUUCUGGACUGCAACUGACGCUGAGGCGCGAAAGCUAGGGGAGCAAACAGGAUUAGAUACCCCAGUAGUCC